UUGUUUCUAGUUUAUUUAAGAAUGUUGGCUUGUCGUGUCAGAGGAGUAGAAUUUUUACGAAGCAAG
rnacentral:tRNA from 1 species